GAGCCUACGGGACGCAGCAGUGGGGAAUAUUGCGCAAUGGGCGAAAGCCUGACGCAGCGACGCCGCGUGAGGGAUGAAGGUCUUCGGAUCGUAGACCUCUGUCAGCAGGGAGGAACGGUCACUGUGCUAAUCAGCAGAGAAUUGACGGUACCUGCAAAGGAAGCACCGGCUAACUCCGUGCCAGCAGCCGCGGUAAUACGGAGGGUGCGCGCGUUAAUCGGAAUUACUGGGCGUAAGGCGCUCGUAGGCGGUAUGUCCAGUCAAGGGUGAAAUCCCGGCGAUCAACG
rnacentral:rRNA from 1 species